ensembl:lncRNA
GAACUGCUGAGUCAUGGUCUGAACCACUAAUUGAGUGCCUGGAGACAAGACCAGGUCAGCCCUGGAAGCGCAGGUGAAGGUAGUUCACAUCUUAGACCUCAUUUAAGGGCUGACUGACACUGAGAAAGGGUCUUUUGCUGGAGAUCCCUCUUCUGUGGAGUUUUUUCUGCAAGCCUAGAUCUUCAGAAAUGGAUAAGUGCCCAGAGUAGUGGACUUCAGCUAUGCUUCUCUCCCCUGAAGAAUUUAAAUGUGGAUGUGUGGGUUGCAAAAGCUGAGCAUGAGAUUGAGGACCUAAGCCUUCCUUGUCGAAAUCUGUGUUACAGCAGACAUUCAGCUGCCUUCCUUCUAAUGAUGAACUUCUGUGCAUUGGAUAAGACAACGACUGCUGUUGUCAUGCAUCCAUUAAAAUCCCAUCCACAGAACCAUGUACGGAGAAGGGUGGCUGGCUGGGAGCUGCAAACUUCCAAAGAAUUUGUUUGUUGUGAUGUUUUUUUCCUCUCUGGAGUGCUGGAUUCAUAAUAUUUGCAGGCCACUGAUGGAAGUUACCUUAUUAGCCUGCAUUUUCCACUUCUUAUUGAGAGAGGAAAAGAGGAAAACAUAGAAAGAUAGAAAAAAGGAAAGUAGAAAAAACAAAGAAGAUAGAAAAAGAAGGAAAGAAAGAAGAAAAUGUGAGAAAGAAGAGAGAGAGAGUAGAGAAAAAGAAAUAAAGAAAAUAAAUAAUCAUUCUUUUUGCUGCAAUUCUUUCCCUUUAAUGUAUUUGCCAAAGUUUCUAACCAAUAUAUUUCAUGGUGACAUGUCACAUGUUGUGUCAGUCAUACUGGAUUACAUUAGUAGACAUGACUGAUAAGCCCGAAAAUGACAGCACAAUACAACACAUCAUCAAGGAAAUUAGAAAAAAAGUUUCCCCAAAGUAUAAUGAAAAAGAUGUUUUAAAAUAUUCUUCCUAAUUGUUGUCUUUGCCUGCUGAAUGCUGUAUGACUGGUGGUGAGACUCUUGUGAAUCAUUUACAGGAAGCACUAUAGGUUUAUUUAAAACUGAGAGUCUGGGAGGAGGGUAAAAGUGUACAUAUGUGCAUUGUGGAGAGAUUAGAUCUACAAAGCUUUACAAAAAUAGUGUGUUUUCAUGUUAUGUUAUAUUUGAGUUUGGUCUGAUAUGCAUAGAUGAGUUGUAUGUUCUACAAAUUCUUCAUACCCCAUCUUUUUCCUUUUUCAUCAUUUCAAGCAAGAUAGGUUGUCUUAACAUAUUGUAGACAGAUGUGAACUCCCACUGUCUUAACUGUGAGCUGCCCAAAUGCAGCUCCUUUAGUUGGGAACCUGUAGAGAGGCAGAGUAUUGCAGCUUGGUCUGCCUUUUCUUUAACACAGUUACAUAGUUGCACAGCUUUUCAGCAGCUGUGAGCAUAGGAAAACUAAGCUUGAACCUUCUAUCUGUUUUCUCCAUUAAAUUAAUCUUCAUGAUAAAAAAAGUUUUUCUUUUUUCCCAUUUGAAAGACUCACCUAGGUGCAACCUAAUAUGGGCCUGUCAAAAAGACCCAGAUUAGCAUAAGCAUUUCUGGUAGAAGCACUUGAUUUUUUCAAAGCCAGCCCACAUCACUGAAACUUUAUGUGGUCAAUACAAAACAUACUGUUAUUCUGCCAUCACUGGGGCUGGGGAUUGUAACAUCCUCCAUCCUUUCAUAACUCUGACAGUGCUCUGAACACUUAUAUUUUUGGACAGGACUCUACCUGAACUCUGUAGCUCCAGGUUCAAGGAAGAAACCAUGUCAGUGUAGUGUUAAUCAUAGGGUUGUCAUAGAAGGAUUAAAUCAUAGAAUGUCUUGGAUUGGAAGGAACUUCAAAGCCCAUUCAGUUCUAACCCCCUGCCAUAGGCUGGUUGCUAUCCACUAGAUCAGGCUGCCCAGGGCCCCAUCCAACCUGGCUUUGGGUGCUUUCAGGGAUGGGUCAUUCGCAUUUUCUCUAGGCAGCCUGUGCCAGGGCCUCACCACCCUGUGAGUAAAAAAUGUCCUCCUAAUUUGUAAUAUAAAUCCCCCCCCUCUUUCAGUUUUCCUCUUGUCCUAUCACUAUCACACUGUGUAAAAAGUUGAUCUCCCUCCUGAUAAUAAGCUUUGUUUAAGUAUUGGAAGGCUGCAGUGAGGUCUCUCUGGAGCCUUCUCUUCUUGAAGCUGAACAAGCCCAAUUUCCUCAGCCUUUCUUCAUGGGAUAGGUGCUCCAACCCUCUGAUCAUCUUCAUGGCUUCCUCCGGACCCACUCCAGCAACUCUUUUUCUUUCUUAUCCUGGGGUUCCCAAGUCAAAAUGCAGUACUGCAGGUCAUGAAAUAAAGUAGAGGGGAACAACCACCUCCCUUUUCC